GACGAACGCUGGCGGCGUGCUUAAUACAUGCAAGUCAACUUGACUUUAGAUAGCAAUAUCGAAAAGUAGGGUGGCGCACGGGUGCGUAACGCGUAGGUAAUCUGCCCUGAGGUCUGACAUAACCCGUCGAAAGGCGGGCUAACAUCAGAUGAUAUAUAAUCACGACAUCGUGGAAAAUAUCAAAUCUUCGGAGCCUUGGGAUGAGCCUGCGUCUGAUUAGGUAGUUGGCGGAGUAAUAGCCCACCAAGCCUACGAUCAGUAGCUGGUCUGAGAGGAUGAUCAGCCACACUGGAACUGAGACACGGUCCAGACUCCUACGGGAGGCAGCAGUAAGGAAUAUUGCUCAAUGGGGAAACCCUGAAGCAGCAACGCCGCGUGAAGGAUGAAAUAC
rnacentral:rRNA from 1 species